AGCUCGGAGGCUUAUCAAAAAAGCUUCGGGCCAAGUUGUAAGUUGGAGGUUUAGUGUUGGUAGUUGUAUAGCGGCAGACGAGGUAGUAACACGUAGGUAGAUCCCCAGAAGUCGGGCAUAGCCAGUCGAAAGACUGGGUAAUUCCCGAUAGUCCCGAAAGGGUAAAGGUUUUUCGCUUCUGGAGUUGCCUGCGUAGUAUCAGCUAGUUGGUAGGGUAACGGCCUACCAAGGCUACGACGCUUAGGGGAGCUGAGAGGCUGACCCCCACCGAUGGAACUGCGAACGGUCCAUACUCCUACGGGAGGCUGCAGACGAGAAUAUUCCGCAAUGGACGAAAGUCUGACGGAGCGACGCCGCGUGAUUGAUGAAGUGCUUCGGUACGUAAAGAUCUUUUAUCGGGGACGAAAUUAUUGACGGUACCCGAUGAAUAAGGGGCUCCUAACUCUGUAAAUUGAAAAGUUAGGAGUAACUUCUGUUAGAAAACCGCUGUGCAGCAAUCUCGAGUAAUUGAGAUUGAAAACUUGGCUAUAUGCUGGAACUCUCUUGUGGACUGCGUCCUGUUUUUUCUUCGGAAAGAGCGGGAUCCCAAGAGACAAUCAGCAGGGAAGUCGGGUAUACUAAGUGAAUGAUCUGUGCGAUCUCUAAUCAGCAACGAGAUGUCCUUGUCGGCCUGAUGCUCGGAGAUGGAAGUCUCGAGUUUAACGGCUAUCGAGGGACUCGGUUGCAAGUAAAACAAUCAGAAGAGAAGAGGGAAUAUGUGUUCUGGCUCUACAACCAGUUCGCGCAUAUAACUAAGACUCCUCCGCAACAGCGAUCAGAUACGAGACAGUGGUAUUUUGGGACGCGAUUCUUCGAGAAUCUUGAAGAGUUGCGCAAUAUCUUCUACGCAAGGCGUACGAAGGUGGUGCCAGAAAAUAUUACUGAAUUGUUUCAGUCGCCGCUAACACUCGCGGUGUGGUUCAUGGAUGAUGGGCAUCUCGAUUAUCGAGCGAAGUCACAUUAUGCUUACCACAUCAGCACUGAUUCUUUUACAGAAUCGGAAGUGCGAAUGUUGCAAAAAUUGUUAUUAGAGAAAUUCGGUAUCGUGGCAAAGACCUAUUUGUCAUUGUGUCGGGGAAAGAAGUAUCCGAAGCUUUAUAUCGGGAAAGAAGGUCGUGAUAUGUUUACCAAAACAGUCGCCCCGUACAUCCUGCCAUGCUUCAGUUAUAAAAUGCCCCCAGAUCACCAAAAGUAUAUCUUGACCCCUCAGAGACUACACGCCGAGCCCCAUCAGGUCUGAUGGAUGAUGAUAUAGUCCGAUCCUCAUAGCGAUAUGAGGGCAUACUAAAGUGGUAUGCCAACAAAAUGGCCAGCAGGAGCGGUAAUACAGAGGCCCCAAGCAUUACCCGGAAUCACUGGGCGUAAAGGGUGUCUAGGCGGCCAUAUUAGUCUCUCGUUAAAUCUGUGGGCUCAACCUGCAGUCUGCGGGGGAAACGGUAUGGCUCGAGGGCGUGAGAGGUGCAUGGAACUCAUGGUGGAGGGGUGAAAUCCGUUGAUAUCAUGGGGAACACCAAAGGCGAAGGCAGUGCACUGGUACGUUCCUGACGCUCAAACACGAAAGCCAGGGUAGCGAACGGGAU
rnacentral:rRNA from 1 species